CUUGGCUUGAUAAAGUCAAAGACAUCUGAGGGCAAACUCAGGAUUCGAAGUGUGACUGUACUUUGGAAGUGCUUGUGCUGAAGUCAGAAAGACCUGACCUGUGAAAAAGCAGGGGAAAAUUCCAAGGGAUGACUCACACCAUAACGCAUUGAGAAAGCCAUUUCCAACCACAGGGCUAUUUCUGAAAGAGUGCUUGGCACCGGUGUGGGAAUCUUGGCUACAAGUGGUUGGUUGUAGUCGCACACGCAAUACCCAAAGGCAGACAUCCUGAUGAAUUUUUGACAGAGCAGGAUGGGAGGGCCUGGAAUAAAAGUAAUGAUACUACGCUGAUAUAUUGAAAUUGGCCGCAGAGUACAGUAAGGAAUGCUUAAUUAUUAAUGGAGUACCUGUGGAUUGCUGCAGGAGACUGUGAAAUCACCAAGUAUGCACAUCAAGGACAAGAGACAAAUUUUAUCAGCUUUCAUGUUUUCUUUAUACAUUUCGUCCACCUCAAGGUCAGUUCUUUUCACUCUGACUUUUGAAAACAGACUUUCAACAGAUAUCCAACAGCAGGAUAUCUACUAGUGUAUAUCGGCUCUUAGACAUUGAUCUUCUAAGAUGCUGACGCUUAGAUGUUGACUCUUCCAUCCCAGGUUCAAAUGCUAAUGCUGUUUAGCUCGCAGCAACUUACCCAUUGACUUGAUUUUAUUAUAUAUUAAAAAAAAUAUAGGCAAUAUCUUAGAAAAUGAUAAAUAUUCUAAUUAUACUUUCAUAAAGAUGUAAUGGUUUAGUAAUGUCAAUGAGCUGUCAGCAUUGUUUGCCAUUUACAUCAUGUUUGACAAGUACAGGCUGAAGAAGAGAGGAAGCCUACAAUUUCCUCAGUUUUAUUAGCCUGAGAUUUUUAAUGAGGCUGGAAGCUGAAAAGGGCAGAUACUCCCCGCAAUGAACUUUCAGCAACCCUUACAAAGUCUUCUGGAAAUUCUAUAAAUAGUCUUCAGUUGAACCUCACUGAGGGCAGGUCCAACUUCUCUGUGGCUUUUUUCAAACAAAUUAUUCCAAAAAGCAUUUUGGACGUUAUUAUUAUUAUUAUUACUAUUUUUUUUGCAAGUAAAUGAUCCUUGCAGCCUUUUUCAUUAUCUCAGGCCUGGAAUUCAUUUCAGAUUUGGCAAGUCCUCUCCUCAAAUUCAUGAGUGUGGUGGUAGAGCUCCACGGACAGCUCCAAAGGAAAAUGAGUAAAUAAUGUCUACAGUGGCUUUUUACUUUUAUUUUACUUAACUUCAUUUAUUUAUUUAUUCAUUUAUUUAUUUAAGUUGUUAAUAUAAUAUCACGUUUCUUCUAUUCCUUUGCAUCUUUUCCGUCUGGAUUUGUUCUGUGCUGGAAUAGUCUCAACUACAGAGCAACAGAGAAUUAAAAUCUGGAGGUCCUGCAAAUGCUGUGUGUUUCUUGUAAAAUCAAGAUAAUAGUAAAUCCUCUUGAUACCAAAUGAAAAUUAAAGUCUUUUGAAUAAAACGCAUCAUAAAAUUGCUAUAAUUAAAAUGUUUGUCUUCCAUUGGGUAGUCUGCUGGAAGCAAUUUCACCUACGGCAGAGUACAGAGGAGCUGGAAAUUAUCCUUUCUGUGACUUCUUAAGGCCUUAUGAGAAAAUCCAUUGUGAUCAGUACAGAAAGACUUAAAGCCAGCAUCCCACAGAGAAUGAAGCCCAUGUCAGUGUCCCAGGAUGCCCACAAUAGCUGAGCAGUUGUGGUUUGAUGCCCAUUUGAUAAACAACACUCAAAGUGCUGUUCAGUCUCUGAUGAGCUGGCAGAAAGUAUGCAAAACCCCUUCCCACCAAAAAGUCCUGGUGGUCUUUCAGAUAAGGAGUGAUAGGUCAACAAAAUGGAAUUAAUUAAUAGCAUAAAUAUGAUGCAACCAGAAUUCAUUUAGAACGAACCAAUAGAUCUUCUUUCAGCCCCUCACAAGGGAAACUACCAUUCAAAGACUCUACUUUCUAACUUGAGGAUUCCUUCUGUUCUGUUUCCAGCUCCCAUUCAUUCAU